rnacentral:misc_RNA from 1 species
AAAGUCGUAACAAGGUUUCCGUAGGUGAACCUGCGGAAGGAUCAUUAUUGAAUGAACUUGGCAUGAUUGUAGCUGGUCCUUUCGAGGGCAUGUGCACAUCUGUCAUCUUUAUCUUUCCACCUGUGCACCAAUUGUAGGUCUAAAAAUUUUUCCCCGAGACACUCGGGGGGCAUGGGGCGUUGCUGUGUGUUACCACCAGCUUGCCCUGCAUUUUCUAGAUCUAUGUUUUCACAUACACCAUAAAAUGUAAUAGAAUGUUAUUAUUGGGCUUUUAUUGCCUAUAAACUAUAUACAACUUUCAGCAACGGAUCUCUUGGCUCUC